UACGUAGGGUGCAAGCGUUGUCCGGAAUUAUUGGGCGUAAAGAGCGUGUAGGCGGUCCGAUCAGUCUGCUGCAAAAGUCCAGGGCUCAACCCUGGAAUGCCGGUGGAUACUGUCGGGCUAGAGUCCGGAAGAGGCGAGUGGAAUUCCUGGUGUAGCGGUGAAAUGCGCAGAUAUCAGGAGGAACACCCAUAGCGAAGGCAGCUCGCUGGGACGGUACUGACGCUGAGACGCGAAAGCGUGGGGAGCAAACAGG
rnacentral:rRNA from 1 species